AUUGAACGCUGGCGGCAUGCCUUACACAUGCAAGCCGAACGGCAACGGGUCCUUCGGGAUGCCGACGAGUGGCGAACGGGUGAGUAAUAUAUCGGAACGUGCCCAGUAGUGGGGGAUAACUGCUCGAAAGAGCAGCUAAUACCGCAUACGACCUGAGGGUGAAAGGGGGGGAUCGCAAGACCUCUCGCUAUUGGAGCGGCCGAUAUCAGAUUAGCUAGUUGGUGGGGUAAAGGCCUACCAAGGCAACGAUCUGUAGUGGGUCUGAGAGGACGACCAGCCACACUGGGACUGAGACACGGCCCAGACUCCUACGGGAGGCAGCAGUGGGGAAUUGUGGACAAUGGGCGCAAGCCUGAUCCAGCAAUGCCGCGUGCAGGAAGGAGGCCUUCGGGUUGUAAACUGCUUUUGUCAGGGAAGAAAUCUUCUGGGCUAAUACCCCGGGAGGAUGACGGUACCUGAAGAAUAAGCACCGGCUAACUACGUGCCAGCAGCCGCGGUAA
rnacentral:rRNA from 1 species